rnacentral:tmRNA from 1 species
GGGCUUGUACUGGUUUCGACGGGGGCCAUGCAGCUGGUGAAGCUAUCCCCAUGCGAUGGGUUAAAUGGCAAAAUUAAAUACAAACGCUGAAGAUAAUUUAGCAAUCGCUGCCUAAUGGCAGCUGUCAGACUUAGCGCACCUACACGCUGAGAUCCUGGCAUCGACGAUGUAGGAAACGACACGCAGUAAGCUUUGCCUGCGUGAGCGUAUUAUGAAGCUACUAAAGUCAUCAGGAUGUCUGUUUUCGGGUGAUAGAGGGAAUGUCAAAUAACCGACUAUGAUAGUAGAAGAACAGGGAAUUGGUUUUCGGACAGGGGUUCGAUUCCCCUCAGGUCCACUA